rnacentral:rRNA from 1 species
UACGUAGGCAGCAAGCGUUGUUCGGAGUUACUGGGCGUAAAGGGUGCGUAGGCGGCCUAUUAAGUCAGUGGUGAAAUCCUGCAGCUUAACUGUAGAAUUGCCAUUGAUACUGAUGGGCUUGAAUUCAGGCGAGGUAGGCGGAAUUGACGGUGUAGCGGUGAAAUGCAUAGAUAUCGUCAAGAACACCGAUUGCGAAGGCAGCUUACUAGACUGACAUUGACGCUGAGGCACGAAAGUGUGGGGAUCAAACAGG